GUCGAGCGAACGGACGAGAAGCUUGCUUCUCUGAUGUUAGCGGCGGACGGGUGAGUAACACGUGGAUAACCUACCAAUAAGACUGGGAUAACUUCGGGAAACCGGAGCUAAUACCGGAUAAUAUUUUGAACCGCAUGGUUCAAAAGUGAAAGACGGUCUUGCUGUCACUUAUAGAUGGAUCCGCGCUGCAUUAGCUAGUUGGUAGGGUAACGGCUUACCAAGGCAACGAUGCAUAGCCGACCUGAGAGGGUGAUCGGCCACACUGGAACUGAGACACGGUCCAGACUCCUACGGGAGGCAGCAGUAGGGAAUCUUCCGCAAUGGGCGAAAGCCUGACGGAGCAACGCCGCGUGAGUGAUGAAGGUCUUCGGAUCGUAAAACUCUGUUAUUAGGGAAGAACAUAUGUGUAAGUAACUGUGCACAUCUUGACGGUACCUAAUCAGAAAGCCACGGCUAACUACGUGCCAGCAGCCGCGGUAAUACGUAGGUGGCAAGCGUUAUCCGGAAUUAUUGGGCGUAAAGCGCGCGUAGGCGGUUUUUUAAGUCUGAUGUGAAAGCCCACGGCUCAACCGUGGAGGGUCAUUGGAAACUGGAAAACUUGAGUGCAGAAGAGGAAAGUGGAAUUCCAUGUGUAGCGGUGACAUGCGCCGCGAUAUGGAGGAACACCAGUGGCGAAGGCGACUUUCUGGUCUGUAACUGACGCUGAUGUGCG
rnacentral:rRNA from 1 species